rnacentral:rRNA from 1 species
UACGAAGGGGGCUAGCGUUGUUCGGAAUUACUGGGCGUAAAGCGCACGUAGGCGGAUCGAUCAGUCAGGGGUGAAAUCCCAGAGCUCAACUCUGGAACUGCCUUUGAUACUGUCGGUCUAGAGUAUGGAAGAGGUGAGUGGAAUUCCGAGUGUAGAGGUGAAAUUCGUAGAUAUUCGGAGGAACACCAGUGGCGAAGGCGGCUCACUGGUCCAUUACUGACGCUGAGGUGGCGAAAGCGUGGGGAGCAAACAGG